GCGGAUGUGGCGUAAUUGGUAGCCGCGCUAGACUUAGGAUCUAGUACCGAGAGGUGUGUGGGUUCGAGUCCCUCCAUCCGCA
rnacentral:tRNA from 1 species